UGGGGAAUAUUGCACAAUGGGGGAAACCCUGAUGCAGCGACGCCGCGUGGAGGAAGAAGGUCUUCGGAUUGUAAACUCCUGUUGUUGAGGAAAAGAGGAUGGUACUCAACAAGGAAGUGACGGCUAACUACGUGCCAGCAGCCGCGGUAAACGUAGGUCACAAGCGUUGUCCGGAAUUACUGGGUGUAAAGGGAGCGCAGGCGGGUAUGCAAGUUGGGAGUGAAAUACAUGGGCUCAACCCAUGAACUGCUCUCAAAACUGUGUAUCUUGAGUAGUGCAGAGGUAGGCGGAAUUCCCGGUGUAGCGGUGGAAUGCGUAGAUAUCGGGAGGAACACCAGUGGCGAAGGCGGCCUACUGGGCACCAACUGACGCUGAGGCUCGAAAGUGU
rnacentral:rRNA from 1 species